AGCAGCCGCGGUAAUUCCAGCUCCAAUAGCGUAUAUUAAAGUUGUUGCAGUUAAAAAGCUCGUAGUUGAAUUUCGGGAUCAAUUAAUCGGUCGUGCCUCUGGUACGCACUGGUUUUAUUGGUUUCUCCCUUCUGACGAACCAGGAUGUCAUUAAUUUGGUGUCUUGGAGAAUCAGGACUGUUACUUUGAAAAAAUUAGAGUGUUUAAAGCAGGCUAACGCUUGAAUACAUUAGCAUGGAAUAAUGAAAUAGGACGUUUGAUCCUAUUUUGUUGGUUUCUAGGAUCGACGUAAUGAUUAAUAGGGAUAGUUGGGGGCAUUAGUAUUCAAUUGUCAGAGGUGAAAUUCUUGGAUUUAUUGAGGACUAACUACUGCGAAAGCAUUUGCCAAGGAUGUUUUCAUUAAUCAAGAACGAAAGUUAGGGGAUCGAAGACGAUCAGAUACCGUCGUAGUCUUAACCAUAAACUAUGCCGACUAGGGAUCGGAUGAUGUUAAUUUUUAAUGACUCAUUCGGCGCCUU
rnacentral:rRNA from 1 species